ensembl:lncRNA
CUGAUGAUGGGCUGGGGGUUCUCCUAGGUGUGCUCAGGAUUUUUUUUUCAUGUGGGAUUUAAGAAGCUGCAUGCACUUAAGUGAGAGUGGAAAGGAAAACGUAACUGCUGGUCAGUCAGCCAUCACAGACUCACUCCUCCCGUGGUUACUUCCUGAAUUAAGCCAAGACACUGGGAAGUGGCCCUGAAAUGAUCCAGUUGGGAGGUGGAGCAGUAGGAUUACCAGAUUUAGCAAACAAAAAUGCAGGCUGUCCAGUUACAUGAGAGUUUCAGGAAAAUUUUGUUAAGUAUGUCCUAUGUCCCAUGUAAUAUUGGGGACAGAUUUAGACUAAAAUACCAUUCAUUGUCCAUCUGAAAUUCAGACUUAACUGUUCUCCUGCAUUUUAUCUGGCAACACUAGUUGGGGGUACAGAUGAGAUAAAACAGUGAGCAACAGCCCCUGAGGUCAGUGGCUGGAGCAGAACCAGAUGGAGCUGGUGGGGCAGGUGGAGGUAGAGGGGACUGUAGGCCUCCAGUGGGAGACACAGGCUCCUACCAUAUACCCGGGUGUGUGUGGGGGGGCACGUUGCUGCAGUCAUCUGUGACCCUGGACCCUGAAGGGCUUCUGCUUCCACUUCUAUCUGGAGGAUGGUGUCUUCAGCCUCCUCAGCCACAAUGGGGUCCCAUGGGCCUGGCUCUGAGGAGACUAAGGGCACAGGAGACAUCCAAUCAGAGGGACUGAACUGCCUCUUUCUGUCACAGGAAUGCCUGCUCUUGUCCCCAGAAGGGGACCUGUGUGGACAUGGGGUGGGGGAAGGAUGAGGGGCAAGGAAACCUCCCCACCCACAAACCCCCUCCCAACCUGGAAGGCUUUCCAACAGGGCCCUCAGAUGACCUGACGUUUCUGGAUAGCCAGGCAUGGGCAUGCCCAUUGGGCUCGUCACAGCGGCUCUUGGACACUCCGGUCAUCCACCACUCAGUGACAAGCUGCCCUAAACUCGGUGAUGCUGAGCCAUCCCAUCCCCUUCAUCUCACUCAGCUUGUGCGGGUCGGGGUCACACAGGCAUGGGGGUGUCCCUGCUCCAUCCCCUGGGUGACCAGACCCAAGGGGCCAGCCUGCAGGUGUCCAGAGGCUCUAGGAGGAGGCCCAGGAGCCAGGCCAGGUCCCACCAACCCCAGGUCAGCCGGCACCACCUCCCCUGCACAGGAUGGGUCGGAGCAGGUCCAAGGGGAAGGGACCAGGACUCGUCCUCCAGGGAGCAUCUGAGGAUGGUGGCUGUGGUGUAAACCCCCACUAUUUAACCUUACAGCAAUGAAAUAUGAGUGCAAGAAACACGCUCACUUUUCUAAAACAAGUAGCUGCUUUAAAGACUUUAGAAUGACUUCAGAAAGGUAAGUGGCUUAAAAAAUACAUGGUCAAAUGAGGUAAAAGGCUGAGAAAAUAUAUGCAAGAACCUGGGCCAUGUGCCGCUCUGCCAGAGAGGCUGCCCAUUUCAGGCCCGUUUCUCCAAGGGGCUGGGGUGCCAGCAGCAGCACAGGGUGGGGGGUACCCCACAGGUCCCUGCAGAAAGCACCACUCAGAUAGCAAGACAUGGACACCCCUGAGUGCUGGGGCCACAGGCAGGUGGGCCAACUGGCCCAGGUAAUGGGGCCCCUGGAGCGCUGCCAGUCCCUGAAAGCCUGACACAGCAGGCAGCAUGCUAACCUCCGCAGGACGCCUACCCAGCCUGCCCUCCCUCGAGCUUCCAGAAGGAAAACAAGAGAAGCAAUUACUGCUUAACAGGCAAGUACUGUGUCUGGACUCUGGGGAGCCACAUAAUUGGUGAGAGUGGUUGCUGGUGAGGCAGGACCCCUGGGGGCCACAGCCUGAGCUCCCAAAAACCUGGUGGGGGAGGGGAGGAAGGCAGGGAGGCAGAAAGAGACAGAGAUACUCCUGUGUGCAGGAACCCAGGCAGUAGGGAGCAGCCCCCACCCACAUCCAGCCCACUGCUCCGUGCUGGGACGCCUGCGUCUGGUAGACAGUAGGUGCUCAAUAAAUGCUGGCCAAGCAGGAAAGCAACACACACAGGCACAGAAUCCCAUGCCUGUGGAGGGGGAUGGGCUGUGGGGGGGUGGCGCCCAGGACACCAACAAGACACCUGCUGCCCAGGGGGACGUUUCUGGGGCCUGCCCAUGUCAGAGACAGCAGUGACAGGUACAGGUGGGGGACCCGAGGCUGACGCCCGGUUGGUGUCAGUUGACAGUGGCCACUGGACGCCUGGCAGCUUCAUGUGUCAUGUUCUAAAGCAGAGUCCUCAGAUCCUGGACCCUCUGAACUGGGACCUAGGGGUCCUUGGGGUCCUGAGGGGCGGCACUUGCCGUGGUUCUGCCUGGGGCAGGCCCCCAAAGCAUAGUUCCAGGGUGGUGGUGUCUAAGAACACCCAGCGAAGGUCUGGAGCACAUGGCUGCUCUGUCACUGGCAAGAGGAUAGCAUGGCUUUCCUGUAAGUUCCUCAGGAAUCCACUGACAUUUUGCACAGGAGAAGAAACCAUAAACAAAACGAAAGAC